rnacentral:rRNA from 1 species
AGAGUUUGAUCAUGGCUCAGGAUGAACGCUGACAGAAUGCUUAACACAUGCAAGUCAACUUGAACUUCGGUUUGGGUGGCGGACGGGUGAGUAACGCGUAAAGAACUUGCCUCACAGUUAGGGACAACAUUUGGAAACGAAUGCUAAUACCUGAUAUUAUGAUUUUAGGGCAUCCUAAGAUUAUGAAAGCUAUAUGCGCUGUGAGAGAGCUUUGCGUCCCAUUAGCUAGUUGGAGAGGUAACGGCUCACCAAGGCGAUGAUGGGUAGCCGGCCUGAGAGGGUGAACGGCCACAAGGGGACUGAGACACGGCCCUUACUCCUACGGGAGGCAGCAGUGGGGAGUAUUGGACAAUGGACCAAGAGUCUGAUCCAGCAAUUCUGUGUGCACGAUGAAGUUUUUCGGAAUGUAAAGUGCUUUCAGUUGGGAAGAAAAAAAUGACGGUACCAACAGAAGAAGUGACGGCUAAAUACGUGCCAGCAGCCGCGGUAAUACGUAUGUCACAAGCGUUAUCCGGAUUUAUUGGGCGUAAAGCGCGUCUAGGUGGUUAUGUAAGUCUGAUGUGAAAAUGCAGGGCUCAACUCUGUAUUGCGUUGGAAACUGUGUAACUAGAGUACUGGAGAGGUAAGCGGAACUACAAGUGUAGAGGUGAAAUUCGUAGAUAUUUGUAGGAAUGCCGAUGGGGAAGCCAGCUUACUGGACAGAUACUGACGCUAAAGCGCGAAAGCGUGGGUAGCAAACAGGAUUAGAUACCCUGGUAGUCCAA